AAUCAACGCUGGCGGCAUGCCUAACACAUGCAAGUCGAACGAAGGCUUCGGCCUUAGUGGCGCACGGGUGCGUAACGCGUGGGAAUCUGCCCUUGGGUUCGGAAUAACAGUUAGAAAUGACUGCUAAUACCGGAUGAUGUCGUAAGACCAAAGAUUUAUCGCCCAGGGAUGAGCCCGCGUAGGAUUAGCUAGUUGGUGGGGUAAAGGCCCACCAAGGCGACGAUCCGUAGCUGGUCUCAGAGGAUGAUCAGCCACACUGGGACUGAGACACGGCCCAGACUCCUACGGGAGGCAGCAGUGGGGAAUAUUGGACAAUGGUCGAAAGCCUGAUCCAGCAAUGCCGCGUGAGUGAUGAAGGCCUUAGGGUUGUAAAGCUCUUUUACCCGGGAUGAUAAUGACAGUACCGGGAGAAUAAGCUCCGGCUAACUUCGUGCCAGCCGCCGCGGUAACAC
rnacentral:rRNA from 1 species